CCAAAGUAUCCUGUGCUAUCUUGUAUUGCUCGUGAUGUGCUAGCUGUGCAAGCAUCUACCGUGGCAUCCGAAUCAGCCUUUAGCAUCGGUGGGAGAGUAGUUAGUGAUUAUAGGAGCAGGCUAAAAAGUGAUACUGUUGAGGCUCUGAUUUGCUUACAGGACUGGCUACGAGCUGCAGACCCUUCAGUGAACAAAACAACCACCACCGAUGUUGACGAUGAAGAGUGUCAGAUUCUUGUGACAAUGCCACCAAAUCUUCAAGAAUACAUUCCAGACCAUUAAAAGGUUUCUUACAAGUAAAAGCAGUUGCUUCUCUAAUAAAUUAGGAAGCUGAUGGUUGUUGAGUUUGCUGAUCACUGUUGCAAUAUGGAGAAACUGCUUUUACUUGCUCAUCAACUCGAUGUAUCUAGUUUUGGUAGCAAUACGGGAG